AGAUGUUCUUACUGAUGCUAUGAUCUAUUACACAAACAAGAAGGUCUCAAAGAUCGGUCCGUAUCUGGCGUUAAAGCUGACGAAAGCUGAGGAUGUAAUGUCAACAACAAAAAAAGGAAUUGAAAGCUCUCCUUGAUCAACUCAAAGUGUCAGAAAGUCAGGUAGAACUCUGGCUUGCAGAGGCACAGAAUCCUGCUAGUUGUCAGCGACUGAGACGAG